UACGUAGGUGGCAAGCGUUGUCCGGAUUUACUGGGCGUAAAGGGCGUGCAGGCGGUUUGUUAAGUUCAGGGUGAAAGCUCCCGGCUCAACUGGGAGAGGUCCUUGGAUACUGGCAGACUUGAGGAGGGUAGAGGAGAGUGGAAUUCCCGGUGUAGUGGUGAUAUGCGUAGAUAUCGGGAGGAACACCAGUGGCGAAGGCGGGUCUCUGGGCCGAUACUGACGCUGAGGAGCGAAAGCGUGGGGAGCGAACAGG
rnacentral:rRNA from 1 species